rnacentral:rRNA from 1 species
AGUGAACGCUGGCGGUAGGCCUAACACAUGCAAGUCGAACGGCAGCACAGUAAGAGCUUGCUCUUACGGGUGGCGAGUGGCGGACGGGUGAGGAAUACAUCGGAAUCUACUUUUUCGUGGGGGAUAACGUAGGGAAACUUACGCUAAUACCGCAUACGACCUACGGGUGAAAGCAGGGGAUCUUCGGACCUUGCGCGAUUGAAUGAGCCGAUGUCGGAUUAGCUAGUUGGCGGGGUAAAGGCCCCCCAAGGCGACGAUCCGUAGCUGGCCUGAGAGGAUGUGCACCACACCGGAACCUAAGAAAGGUUCCGAAUCCCAAGGGAGGGAGGAAUGGGGAAAAUUUGAACAUGGGCGCAAGCCUGAUCCAGCCAUACCGCGUGGGUGAAGAAGGCCUUCGGGUUGUAAAGCCCUUUUGUUGGGAAAGAAAAGCAGCAGGUUAAUACCCCGCUGUUCUGACGGUACCCAAAGAAUAAGCACCGGCUAACUUCGUG